UCAUCAAAGUUGGUGUGAUGUG
rnacentral:miRNA from 10 species